GGGUAUAGACCCGAAACCCGGUGAUCUAGCCAUGGGCAGGUUGAAGGUUGGGUAACACUAACUGGAGGACCGAACCGACUAAUGUUGAAAAAUUAGCGGAUGACUUGUGGCUGGGGGUGAAAGGCCAAUCAAACCGGGAGAUAGCUGGUUCUCCCCGAAAGCUAUUUAGGUAGCGCCUCGUGAAUUCAUCUCCGGGGGUAGAGCACUGUUUCGGCAAGGGGGUCAUCCCGACUUACCAACCCGAUGCAAACUGCGAAUACCGGAGAAUGUUAUCACGGGAGACACACGGCGGGUGCUAACGUCCGUCGUGAAGAGGGAAACAACCCAGACCGCCAGCUAAGGUCCCAAAGUCAUGGUUAAGUGGGAAACGAUGUGGGAAGGCCCAGACAGCCAGGAUGUUGGCUUAGAAGCAGCCAUCAUUUAAAGAAAGCGUAAUAGCUCACUGGUCGAGUCGGCCUGCGCGGAAGAUGUAACGGGGCUAAACCAUGCACCGAAGCUGCGGCAGCGACACUAUGUGUUGUUGGGUAGGGGAGCG
rnacentral:rRNA from 1 species